CAUAGCGUUAAGCUACUAGUGACCUUCUGAUAAGACAUCAGAAGGAGGAGCAUCUGCUUCUGGACCGUGGUUGACCUUAGUGCAAAGCCACUGUGUUGGUGAUGGAUGGAACGUAUAAAGGAGUGGAAAACACUGGCUGAAGGAAGUUCACAGACAGAAGCCAGGAGCUGUGGAUUGGAAGGCAGAUGCCUCAGCUUCAAGCACAGGCUGGAAUACUGACUUGCAGCGUCAUUGUGGGAAGCUGCAGAGAAUCUUCAGGAAAUUGAGGAAAACUGUGCCAGUGAGUAGAGUAUGAUGGUGGGAAGACAAAUGAAGGAAGAUGUAUUUAAAGCGCUACCCGACUCACUUCAAAUAGGUGAAGAAGUUCCAGCUCAAGGAGAUGGAGGGUAUUUGUUUUAAGAAGUGCAAGAAGUUGAAGAGAAGAUAAAUUACCAUGAAGAAGAAAAGGCACCUUUUAUCCUCUUUUUUUGAUCUUCAGAUCAAGAGGAGUCCUGCCUGAUGAAUCUUACCUGCCCCUGGAUCUGAUUUAGACUCAAAGCAUGAAUGGCACCAGGAGUGAUUCUGCAGUACUUUUAAGUGGUGAGCCAUGGGAUGUUCCCCUGCAGACAUGUCUCUCCAUGGCAGCAAGUCCACAAGGAUGGCUGCAGGCUGCAGAAACCAGAAGGAGGGAACAGAAGAGGAAGAACCAUUCGGAAUGAAAUGCAGUUGGAAGGAGAAUGGUCAUGGCUCACAUCUUAUUAGCUUUGAUAUGACCAAAGGCUUAAAACAAAAUACUAAAGUCUUUGAAUAUUUGAGAAUCAAUGAUUAAAAAUGAGAGCAAACCAGCCGGUAAAUGAUAAAUA
rnacentral:lncRNA from 1 species